rnacentral:rRNA from 1 species
UACGGGGGGGGCAAGCGUUGUUCGGAAUUACUGGGCGUAAAGGGUUCGUAGGUGGCCUGCUAAGUCAGACGUGAAAUCCCCCGGCUUAACCUGGGAACUGCGUCUGAUACUGGACGGCUAGAGUAUGGGAGAGGGAUGUAGAAUUCCAGGUGUAGCGGUGAAAUGCGUAGAUAUCUGGAGGAAUACCGGUGGCGAAGGCGGCAUCCUGGACCAUUUACUGACGCUGAGGCGCGAAAGCUAGGGGAGCAAACGGG